UACAGAGGUGGCAAGCGUUGUUCGGAAUUACUGGGCGUAAAGGGCGCGUAGGCGGUUCGUUAAGUCCUGUGUGAAAUCCCCCGGCUCAACUGGGGAACUGCACAGGAAACUAGCGGGCUUGAGUUCGGGAGAGGGAAGCGGAAUUCCGGGUGUAGCGGUGAAAUGCGUAGAUAUCCGGAAGAACACCAAUGGCGAAAGCAGCUCUCUGGGACGGUACUGACGCUGAGACGCGAAAGCGUGGGGAGCGAACAGG
rnacentral:rRNA from 1 species